GACGUAGGGGGCGAGCGUUGUCCGGAGUUACUGGGCGUAAAGAGCGCGUAGGUGGUUCUUCAAGUCGGUUGUGAAAACUGCAGGGCUCAACCCGCAGCCUGCAUCCGAUACUGGAGAACUUGAGGGAUGGAGAGGGAAGUAGAAUUUCUGGUGUAGCGGUGAAAUGCGUUGAUAUCAGAAGGAAUACCCGUGGCGAAGGCGGCUUCCUGGUCAUCUCCUGACACUGAGGCGCGAAAGCUGGGGGAGCGAACGGAAUUAGAUACUCCGGUAGUCCCAGCCCUAAACGAUGGAUACUAGGUGUUGGUGGUAUCGACCCCACCAGUGCCGCAGCUAACGCAUUAAGUAUCCCGCCUGGGGAGUACGGCCGCAAGGUUG
rnacentral:rRNA from 1 species